GCGCGUGUGGUGAAAUUGGUAGACACGCAGGAUUUAGGUUCCUGUGACUGCGGUCGUGCGGGUUCAAGUCCCGCCACGCGCACC
rnacentral:tRNA from 2 species